UACGUAGGGUGCAAGCGUUAAUCGGAAUUACUGGGCGUAAAGCGUGCGCAGGCGGUGAUGUAAGACAGAUGUGAAAUCCCCGGGCUCAACCUGGGAACUGCAUUUGUGACUGCAUCGCUGGAGUGCGGCAGAGGGGGAUGGAAUUCCGCGUGUAGCAGUGAAAUGCGUAGAUAUGCGGAGGAACACUGAUGGCGAAGGCAAUCCCCUGGGCCUGCACUGACGCUCAUGCACGAAAGCGUGGGGAGCAAACAGG
rnacentral:rRNA from 1 species